rnacentral:rRNA from 1 species
CAUGUAGGCGGACUGUUAAGUCUGGUGUGAAAGCCCGGGGCUCAACCCCGGAAGUGCAUUGGAUACUGGCAGUCUUGAGUAUGGGAGAGGAAAGUGGAAUUCCGAGUGUAGGAGUGAAAUCCGUAGAUAUUCGGAGGAACACCAGUGGCGAAGGCGGCUUUCUGGACCAAUACUGACGCUGAGAUGCGAAAGCGGUGGGGAGCAAACA